rnacentral:rRNA from 1 species
ACUUUACAAUGCGAGCAAUCGUGAUAAGGAAACCCUGAGUGCCUGUCAAUGCAGGCUGUUCUGGUGUCUAACACACACCAGGAGAAAGGGCGGGGCAAGACCGGUGCCAGCCGCCGCGGUAAUACCGGCUGCUCGAGUGAUAGCCACUUUUACUGGGCUUAAAGCGUUCGUAGCUUGGUCGUUAAGUCUCUGGGGAAAUCUUUUGGCUCAACCAAAAGGCGUCUCAGGGAAACUGACGAUCUUGGAACCGGGAGAGGUAAGGCGUACUUCGGGGGUAGGAGUGAAAUCUUGUAAUCCCCGAGGGACGACCGAUGGCGAAGGCAUCUUACCAGAACGGCUUCGACAGUGAGGGACGAAAGCUGGGGGAGCAAACCGGAUUAGAUACCCGGGUAGUCCCAGCCGUAAACGAUGUGCGUUAGGUGUGUCAGUGACCACGAGUCGCUGAGGUGCCGAAGGGAAACCGUGAAACGCACCGCCUGGGAAGUACGGUCGCAAGGCUGAAACUUAA